CACGGGUACCGUCCGAGAGAUCGGAUCUCAAGCCGUGUGGUCUCUGUCCUCGUGCAAGCCAGGGUUUGGAGUCGACCAGUUGAGAGAUGAUAAUCUGGAGACGUACUGGCAGUCUGAUGGCUCUCAGCCACAUCUAGUGAACAUUCAGUUCAGG